UCCGGUUUGUCACCGGCAGUCUCAUUAGAGUGCCCUUUCGUAGCAACUAAUGACAAGGGUUGCGCUCGUUGCGGGACUUAACCCAACAUCUCACGACACGAGCUGACGACAGCCAUGCAGCACCUGUGCUCCGGUUCUCUUGCGAGCACACUCCAAUCUCUUGAAGCUUCCGGGCAUGUCAAGGGUAGGUAAGGUUUUUCGCGUUGCAUCGAAUUAAUCCACAUCAUCCACCGCUUGUGCGGGUCCCCGUCAAUUCCUUUGAGUUUUAGUCUUGCGACCGUAGUCCCCAGGCGGUCAACUUCACGCGUUAGCUGCGCUACUAAGCCGUAACCGGCCCAACAGCUAGUUGACAUCGUUUAGGGCGUGGACUAC
rnacentral:misc_RNA from 1 species